AAACCCUUUAACGAGGACCUAUGAGAGGGCAAGUCUGGUGCCAGCAGCCGCGGUAAUUCCAGCUCUCAAGGUGUAUAUCGCCAUUGCUGCGGUUAAAAAGCUCGUAGUUGGAUCUGCGCCUUCGGACUCGGUCCUCCCAACGGGUGCGAACUGAGCUCCAAGGCUACUACUGCUGGUUUUCCCUUGAUGCUCUUCACUGGGUGUCUUGGGUGGCUAGCGAGUUUACUUUGAAAAAAUUAGAGUGCUCAAAACAGGCUAUUGCCUGAAUACCGGUGCAUGGAAUAAUAGAAUAGGAUCUCGGUCCUAUUUUGUUGGUUUUCGGAACUGAGAUAAUGGUUAAGAGGGACAGACGGGGGCAUUCGUAUCGCUGCGUGAGAGGUGAAAUUCUUGGACCGCAGCGAGACGCCCAACUGCGAAAGCAUUUGCCAAGAAUGUCUUCGUUAAUCAAGAACGAAAGUCAGAGGUUCGAAGGCGAUCAGAUACCGCCCUAGUUCUGACCGUAAACGAUGCCAACUAGCGAUCCGCCGGUGGUAAUUACGCCCCGGCGGGGAGCUUCCCGGAAACGAAAGUCUUCCGGUUCCGGGGGAAGUAUGGUUGCAAAGCUGAAACUUAAAGGAAUUGACGGAAGGGCACCACCAGGAGUGGAGCUUGCGGCUUAAUUUGACCCAACACGGGAAAACUCACCCGGCCCGGACACCGUAAGGAUUGACAGAUUGAGAGCUCUUUCUUGAUUCGGUGGUUGGUGGUGCAUGGCCGUUCUUAGUUGGUGGAGCGAUUUGUCUGGUUUAUUCCGAUAACGAACGAGACUCUGGCCUACUAACUAGUGACAGAAUUAUUGCUGUUCUGGUUACUUCUUAGAGGGACAAGUGGUGUUCAGCCACACGAAAUUGAGCAAUAACAGGUCUGUGAUGCCCUUUGAUGUCCGGGGCUGCACGCGUGCUACACUGGAGGAAACAGCAUGCAAAACCAUUGCCGAGAGGCAUUGGUAAACCCGAGAAAAUCUUCCGUGAUCGGGAUCGGGAAUUGCAAUUAUUUCCCUUGAACGAGGAAUUCCCAGUAAGUGUGGGUCAUCAGCUCGCGCUGAUUACGUCCCUGCCCUUUGUACACACCGCCCGUCGCUGCCCGGGACUGAGCCGUUUCGAGAAAAGCGGGGACUGCUGCUGUUGGGGCUUUCGGGCCUUGGCUUCGGUGGAAACCGCUUUAAUCGCAGUGGCUUGAACCCGGCAAAAGUCGUAACAAGGUUUCCGUAGGUGAACCUGCGGAAG
rnacentral:rRNA from 1 species